UGAUAACGACGAUGUUAGCUGUUUGUAAGCAAAAUGUGAUAUGUCAUGGGAUACCUUAUCAGCCCGUGGAUACAUAAGGUUGGCAUAGACGCAUUCACUCCAAGUGUGGUGAACGGGAGCUGAACCUGUACAGAUUGAUCUCAGUCCUUCACCGCAAAGCAAAGCUGCUACCUACCCAGGCCAGACCCGUGAAUAGGUCUUCAGCAACCCAUGCUUGCUGUAAAAGCAACAAUGGGCGGCUUGCUCGGCUCCUCAAGGCAGACGGUCAGUGUGCACCUCAAGAGGUUCUGCCAGCUUGCCAGGUACUGUUCUGUAUCAACAAUCCAUGUGUGUAACAUUGAAUCGUGUCUCCUUGUUAUAUUUCUCUGUUGGAUUGGCGCUACAAUUAUCUGUCCAGAUGACAGUUAAAUAUUGAAG